GCGCUGACGAGUGGCGGACGGGUGAGUAACGCGUAGGAAUCUGCCUUAUAGUGGGGGACAACGUGGGGAAACCCACGCUAAUACCGCAUACGUCCUACGGGAGAAAGCAGGGGAUCUUCGGACCUUGCGCUAUUGGAUGAGCCCAAGUCAGAUUAGCUAGUUGGUAGGGUAAAGGCCUACCAAGGCGACGAUCUAUAGCUGGUCUGAGAGGACGAUCAGCCACACUGGGACUGAGACACGGCCCAGACUCC
rnacentral:rRNA from 1 species